UAACACAUUUUCUCACAGUUUUCUCGGUAGGAAUAAAAAACAUCGUUUUUCGGCCAUGAUCCAUUCCAUAUCGAAACCCAUAAACCAAAUACAACGAAAUCGAAUAAACCAUUUCGUUAGAAUCCACGAACAUUCUAAAGAUUACCAUAGUUUUGGAGCUAAAAGACCAAAGACCAAAACAAACCAUGAAAACCCUCAAAAAAGUACACAAAAAAGACGCCCAAAAAGGCCACCCCCUUUUGUUGCAGCUAUGAAAGGCAUACAUGACCCAGAUGAAGCUUUGUCGCUUUUCCAUGAAUAUUAUCAAAUGGGUUAUAAGCAUGAUUACCCUUCAUUUUCUUCUCUAAUUUAUAAGCUCGCAAAGUCUCGAAAUUUCGAAGCUGUUGAAACCCUUCUUGGCGUAUUACAAAAUCUCAACAUUCAUUGUAAAGAAACCCUUUUUUGUGCUUUGUUUCAGCAUUAUGGAAAAGCCCAUUUGAGUGUAAAAGCUGUUGAGCUUUUCCGUAAAAUGCCUUGUUUUAACUGCGUUUGUACGGUUCAGUCUUUGAAUUCGGUUCUUAAUGUUCUCGUCGAUAACAAUAGGUUUGGUGAUGCAAAGGAGAUAUUUGAUGAGUCUAAAGAAAUGGGUUUUCGUCCGAAUUCCGUGACAUUCAACGUGAUGAUCAAAGGGUUGUUGAACGGGGCAGAGUUUGAUGAAGCAUGCAAUAUGUUCGAUGAAAUGCUUGAAAGAAACGUGGAACCUAGUGUUGUUACUUAUAAUAGUUUUAUAAGUUUUUUGUGUAAUAAGGGUGAGGUGGAAAAGGCUAAAAAACUAUUUGAAGAUAUGGUUAAGAAAGGGAAGUAUCCAAAUGCAGUGACUUACGCUUUGUUAAUGGAAGGUUUGUGUUCUUUAGGUGAAUAUAAAGAAGCUAAAAAAUUGAUGUUUGAUAUGGAAUAUAAAGGUUGUAAAACGAAGGUUAUUAACUUUGGUGUUUUGAUGAGUUACCUUGGAAAAAAAGGGGAAAUUGAGGAAGCUAAAUCAUUGCUUAGUGAAAUGAAGAAAAGGAGGUUUAAACCCGAUGUAGUGAUUUAUAACAUAUUGGUGAAUUAUCUUUGCAAAGAAAGCAAAAUUGAAGAAGCUUAUAAAGUUCUGAUUGAAAUGCAAGUUAAAGGUUGUGAGCCAAAUGCAGCUACAUAUAGGAUGAUGGUUGAUGGGUUUUGUAAUGUUGGGAAUUUUGAAGGUGCUUUGAAGGUUUUGAAUGUGAUGUUGAAGAGUCGGCAUUGUCCACGGUCAGAAACUUUUUGCCGGUUGGUUGCGGGGUUAUUACGGUGUGGGAAAGUUGAUGGUGCUUGCUUUGUUUUGGAGGAGAUGGAGAAGAGAAAAAUAAGCCUUGAUUUGGAGGCUUGGGGAGAUUUGAUAAGGGAUGCUUAUAGUGGUGUUGGUGAUACUAAUGAACUCUUAACACAAAUUAUCUUGGGUUAUUAGUGAUUUAGUUAACACAUAAUAAAUGUUUUGAGGGUGGAUUCGAAACUGCGAGCACGGAUUUUUAUCCUUAGGCGACAACUCUUAUUACUCGGGGAAUGAGGAAUGCAAGCUCUUAAACAGAGAAGGGUCGAAUUAGUUUAUUACAAUAAUAUCUUACUAAUGGUGAAAUAGAUCAAAAUUGUGCAGGGAUUCAACCAAGGUAGGCUGCUAUUGGAGGACACAAGGAAAUUGGUGAAAUGUGCAUCAAAAGUGAUUCUCUUUGUCUUUUGCUAUGCAACCAAACAAAUAAGACUCAUAACCAAUGCAAGAUCCCCCCCCCCCACUUGUUGUUGCAUUGAACUGAAUUAAGCAAUAGUUGAAAACGGAACAAGAGGGAGAUGUACUUUCCGAUAGGACUGAGAACAAAAAACCGAAGCCUAAGUUCUAUUUU